AUCGAUCUGUGCUCGACACAUGCACCUCAAUCGGUUAGUUUGUGAUCGAUUGCUUUUGUCUCCUCCCACUUUCUCGGGGAAUCGCGGAGUUUUCCUCAAUGCAGUAAAGUGCGUGUUGAGGAACCGUAACACGAUCACUGCUGUGAUUAUUUCUCCCCUUGUUCAGUAAAAUGGAGGCCCACACACAGUCUGUUCACUGCCUGUGAAAUUUGAACAACAUCCAAAACCUGCUGCUUAUGUAAGAGUAGCAUCUAUUUCUAAUGUCCUCUCUUUAACUCCCACCGUUCACUGAUUGUGUGGUGAAUAUGAUUUUCUUUUGCUUUGAAAAGUCUCUGGCGUGUUUUUGCUUGGAUGUUGCUCGGUGUGCUUUGCUUGGUUUUCAGUUUGGGUGGUGGUUUAGCCUGGAUUGCGCUCAACCACUCACUCGCACCUGGCUCCAAUGAUCAUCAGCGCUGGAUAAAGCCUACUGUCACCAGUCCACCAUGAUUGCGUUCACUCACGCGGUACAUUAGCCGUACUCCCAAGCUUUUGUGAGUAUUCCCUCAGUUGAUCACGGCGUCUAAUCCUUUCUUGUGUCUCUUGCAUCUGGUUUCUCCGGAGCCACCAGCUAGCCCCCUGCUCAACCUGGCACUGACCAACCUCGCCUCUCAGCCACCAUUGGAUGUCCCAUGCUUCACCUCUCAGCCUCUGAGGAUCCACACACCUGUCGAGCCCCUCAACGCACAUGCCCCCUACAGAUCCUUCUUCCCCCCCUUUCGCUCCUGGACAUGCCAGCAACACUUCAGGGAUCCCUGCUCCUCCCCAGCUGGCAGAGUACCCUGGACAUUCCCCCCACCCCCACUCCAGUAUUACCAAUGAAAUCUCCAUUUCCCUGAGUGCCUGUUGUCUUGCCUGGUUGCUCUUGGGUCCAGACCUACCCCACGGACUAAGAUCCGUUACAGAUUGUCCACUACUUUGCAAGUCUAAUUGUUGAUUCAGAAGGCCUUCAAGUUUCACAUCAUCACUUUUGUGCAAGAACUUCUACCACGUUCCUUAAUAUUCACCCCAGGAGUUCCUCACAACUCACCUGAGCUGAGAUGCUGCACAAAUUUAAGCCACAAAUAGGCUGAUCAAAUUCGAUCACGACAUCAUGGCUGCCAAUUAACCUACAAUAUUUUGAUAUAUGGAAAGAUGAUGACAAAUCAACACCUGGCACAAGAAAUUAAGUUUUUACAUUAAACAUAGAAAAUGUUUAAAAUUGUGUGUUUAGCAUUUGUAGCUACCAGUUGUGGUUUAGACUAUGUUAAAUCAUGUUUGCUCAAGUGUAAUGCGACAAAUAAAGAGUUGAAAUGAAAA